UUAUUUUAAAGCACAUUCAGGUUAAGUGUGGUUGUUUAUUCUUUCUUUUCACUUUUUUCAUAAUUUUUCUUUUCUUUUUCUUUUUCUUUUUUCCCACAUCUGGCCCUACUAACUUUUUCUUUUAUUUUACCCUUCUACAAAUCCACUGUACACUACGCACCCCAUGAUAACCUCCCUCAACUUAGGCCUUUUUCCUAAGUUGAGGUACAUAAUUUCUAAAGGGG
rnacentral:lncRNA from 1 species